rnacentral:lncRNA from 10 species
UAUUAUUUUCAUUCUCAUGUCUUAGACCUCAGUAUAUAUGAGAAGGAAAUGGCCUUGCUUUUCAAAGGUUUACAAAGAAUAGAAAGGAAUAAACAAUAAUUUGAAAAUGCUUAAUUAUCUAUUCACACCAUGUUCAAACUUUCAGAAGGGAAGGAAGGUGGGCAAAGGGCAAAAGGGCCUUUUUGUCUUCUCUUUAAGUAACUUUUCCAGAGGUUCCAGAGAAAGAGAGAUCAUUUACGGAGCAGAAAUCCUUAGUUUCGACAUGAUCAACUGAAAGGGUUUUUGUCUUAUGGUUUAUACUUAAAGAUUUUAUUAAAGAAGUUAUCCUCCAUUCCAUUGCCAAAAGAUAUUCUGAUAUAUUUUCUUCUAUUAAUUUUACAGUUUUUCCUUUUGUAUUAAGGUCUUUAAUUCACGUGAUCCACCUGCCUCGGCCUCCCAAAGUGCUGGGAUUACAGGCAUGGGCCACUGUGCCUGGCCUGUUUUUCAUUUUUUACAAGUGCCUGGAGGAUAUAUGUAAAGCCUAUAUUACUGAUAGGGUCAUCAUUGUAAUAAUGUUGGAAUUCAACUUUUACUCUCAAACCAUUUUCACAUCUAUAAUGUCAUUUUGUCCUCACAAUCUGUUCUUAUUUGAGGGAAAGGUAAAAUGCUUUUAAUAAAUGAAGAAAGCCAUUUACUUGGUUAAACAAAGGUCUCUUAUGG